rnacentral:rRNA from 1 species
CGGACGGGUGAGUAAUGUCUGGGAAACUGCCUGAUGGAGGGGGAUAACUACUGGAAACGGUAGCUAAUACCGCAUAACGUCGCAAGACCAAAGAGGGGGACCUUCGGGCCUCUUGCCAUCGGAUGUGCCCAGAUGGGAUUGGCUAGUAGGUGGGGUAACGGCUCACCUAGGCGACGAUCCCUAGCUGGUCUGAGAGGAUGCCAGCCACACUGGAACUGAGACACGGUCCAG